AUUGAACGCUGGCGGCAGGCCUAACACAUGCAAGUCGAGCGGAGCGGCGGACGGGUGAGUAAUGCCUAGGAAUCUGCCUGGUAGUGGGGGAUAACGUCCGGAAACGGGCGCUAAUACCGCAUACUAUCAGAUGAGCCUAGGUCGGCUUAGCUAGUUGGUGGGGUAAAGGCCUACCAAGGCGACGAUCCGUACCUGGUCUGAGAGGAUGAUCAGUCACACUGGAACUGAGACACGGUCCAGAUACUUACGGGAGGCAGCAUGGGGCAAGAUGGGAAAAUGGGCGACAGCCUGAUCCAGGCAUGCUGCGUGUGUGAAGAAGGUCUUCGGAUUGGAAAGCACUUUAAGUUGGGAGGCGUUACCAACAGAAUAAGCACCGGCUAACUUCGUGCCAGCAGCCGCGGUGAUUC
rnacentral:rRNA from 1 species